rnacentral:tRNA from 1 species
GCCGCCGUAGCUCAGUUGGUUAGAGCGCCUGAUUGUGGAUCAGGAGGUCAUGAGUUCAAAUCUCUUCGGCGGUA